UACAGAGGUGCCAAGCGUUAGGCGGAAUCACUGGGCUUAAAGCGUGUGUAGGCGGACCGGCAAGUACAUUGUGAAAUCCCACGGCUCAACCGGGGAACGGCUGGGUAUACUGCCGGCCUUGAGCGACCUAGGGGCGAGCGGAACAAACGGUGGAGCGGUGAAAUGCGUAGAUAUCGUUUGGAACGCCAACGGGGAAAACAGCUCGCUGGGGGUCUGCUGACGCUGAGACACGAAAGCCAGGGGAGCAAACGGG
rnacentral:rRNA from 1 species